rnacentral:rRNA from 1 species
GAAUAUUGGGCAAUGGAUGCAAGUCUGACCCAGCCAUGCCGCGUGCCGGAUGAAGGCCCUCAGGGUUGUAAACGGCUUUUAUCUGGGAAGAAGACCAGGGAUGCGUCCCUGGGUGACGGUACCAGAGGAAUAAGCACCGGCUAACUCCGUUCCAGCAGCCGCGGUAAUACGGAGGGUGCGAGCGUUGUCCGGAUUUAUUGGGUUUAAAGGGUGCGUAGGUGGCCUGGUAAGUCAGUGGUGAAAUGCGGCCGCUCAACGGUUGAACUGCCAUUGAUACUGCCGGGCUUGAGACAGAUGGAGGUCGCCGGAACGGAUGGUGUAGCGGUGAAAUGCAUAGAUAUCAUCCAGAACACCGAUUGCGAAGGCAGGUGACUACGCCUGGUCUGACACUGAGGCACGAAAGCAUGGGGAGCAAACAGG